rnacentral:rRNA from 1 species
AACGAACGCUGGCGGCAUGCCUAACACAUGCAAGUCGAACGAGACCUUCGGGUCUAGUGGCGCACGGGUGCGUAACGCGUGGGAACCUGCCCUUAGGUUCGGAAUAACUCCCCGAAAGGGGUGCUAAUACCGGAUAAUGUCUUCGGACCAAAGAUUUAUCGCCUUUGGAUGGGCCCGCGUUGGAUUAGCUAGUUGGUAGGGUAAAAGCCUACCAAGGCGACGACCCAUAGCUGGUCUGAGAGGAUGAUCAGCCACACUGGGACUGAGACACGGCCCAGACUACUACGGGAGGCAGCAGUGGGGAAUAUUGGACAAUGGGCGAAAGCAUGAUCCAGCAAUGCCGCGUGAGUGAUGAAGGCCUUAGGGUUGUAAAGCUCUUUUACCCGGGAUGAUAAUGACAGUACCGGGAGAAUAAGCUCCGGCUAACUCCGUG